UGAGCGGCGGACGGGUGAGUAACGCGUGGGUAACCUGCCUCAUACAGGGGGAUAACAGUUGGAAACGGCUGCUAAUACCGCAUAAGCGCACAGUACCGCAUGGUACGGUGUGAAAAACUCCGGUGGUAUAAGAUGGACCCGCGUUGGAUUAGCUAGUUGGUGAGGUAACGGCCCACCAAGGCAACGAUCCAUAGCCGACCUGAGAGGGUGACCGGCCACAUUGGGACUGAGACACGGCCCAA
rnacentral:rRNA from 1 species